GAUGAAGAACGCAGCGAAAUGCGAUAAGUAGUGUGAAUUGCAGAAUUCAGUGAAUCAUCGAAUCUUUGAACGCACAUUGCGCCCUUCGGUAUUCCGUUGGGCAUGCCUGUUCGAGCGUCAUUUAAACCUUCAAGCUUUCUUGGUGUUGGGUGUUUGUUCCCCUUUAGUGGGUGGACUCGCCUUAAAUUCAUUGGCAGCCGGUAUGUUGAUUUCGUGCGCAGCACAUUGCGUCACGCCUAGCAGACCUUCUCCCACUAAGCCUCUUUUUUACUUUGACCUCGGAUCAGGUAGGGAUACCCGCUGAACUUAAGCAUAUCAAUAAGCGGAGGA
rnacentral:misc_RNA from 1 species